rnacentral:rRNA from 1 species
GACGAACGCUGGCGGCGUGCUUAACACAUGCAAGUCGAACGGAAAGGCGCCUUCGGGGGUACUCGAGUGGCGAACGGGUGAGUAACACGUGAGUAACCUGCCCUUGACUUCGGGAUAACUUCAGGAAACUGGGGCUAAUACCGGAUAGGAAUCCUUGCUGCAUGGUGGGGGUUGGAAAGCUUCGGCGGUUUUGGAUGGACUCGCGGCUUAUCAGCUUGUUGGUGGGGUAGUGGCUUACCAAGGCUUUGACGAGUAGCCGGCCUGAGAGGGCGACCGGCCACAGUGAGACUGAGAUACGGCCCAGACUCCGACGCGAGGCAGAAGUGGGGAAGAUUGAUCUAGGGGCAGAGGCCAGAUGCAGCAACGCCACGGGCGGGAGGGCGGCGUUGGGGUUGUAGUCCGCAUUCAGCUUGAGCGGAGCUUAUAAUGACGGUACCUGCAGAAGAAGCACCGGCUAACUACGUG